AGUCAUAUGCUUGUCUCAAAGAUUAAGCCAUGCAUGUCUCAGUACAAACUAAUAUAAAGUGAAACCGCGAAAGGCUCAUUAAAUCAGUUAUGGUUCCUUAGAUCGUACCACAAACUUACUUGGAUACCUGUGGUAAUUCUAGAGCUAAUACAUGCAUACAGAACUCUAACCGGAGACGGGAAGAGUGCUUUUAUUAGAAUAAAACCAAUCGGCGACAAUCUUUUUUGCUCGUCGCAUUGUUUGAUGGCUCUGAAUAACUUUUAGCUGAUCGUACGGUCUAGAACCGAUGAUGCAUCUUUCAAAUGUCUGCCUUAUCAACUGUCGAUGGUAGGAUCUGCGCCUACCAUGGUUGUAACGGGUAACGGGGAAUCAGGGUUCGAUUCCGGAGAGGGAGCCUGAGAAACGGCUACCACAUCCAAGGAAGGCAGCAGGCGCGCAAAUUACCCACUCCCAGCACGGGGAGGUAGUGACGAAAAAUAACGAUACGGGACUCAUCCGAGGCCCCGUAAUCGGAAUGAGUACACUCUAAAUCUUAUAACAAUAAUCAAUUGGAGGGAAAGCCUGGUGCCAGCAGCCGCGGUAAUUCCAGCUCCAAUAGCGUAU
rnacentral:rRNA from 1 species